AUACGGAGGGUGCAAGCGUUAAUCGGAAUUACUGGGCGUAAAGCGCACGCAGGCGGUUUGUUAAGUCAGAUGUGAAAUCCCCGGGCUCAACCUGGGAACUGCAUCUGAUACUGGCAAGCUUGAGUCUCGUAGAGGGGGGUAGAAUUCCAGGUGUAGCGGUGAAAUGCGUAGAGAUCUGGAGGAACACCGGUGGCGAAGGCGGCCCCCUGGACGAAGACUGACGCUCAGGUGCGAAAGCGUGGGGAGCAAACAGGAUUAGAUCCCCGGGUAGUCCACGCCGUAAACGAUGUCGACUUGGAGGUUGUGCCCUUGAGGCGUGGCUUCCGGAGCUAACGCGUUAAGUCGACCGCCUGGGGAGUACGGCCGCAAGGUUAAAACUCAAAUGAAUUGACGG
rnacentral:rRNA from 1 species